AUGCAUGUCUAAGUACAUACUUUUACAUAGUGAAACCGCGAAUGGCUCAUUAAAUCAGUUAUGGUUCCUUAGAUCGUACAAUCCUACUUGGAUAACUGUGGUAAUUCUAGAGCUAAUACAUGAAGCACGGCUCUGACCUCGCGGAAAGAGCGCGUUUAUUAGAUCAAAACCAGUCGGGUCCGCAAGGGCCCGUCGGAUUGGUGAGACUGGAUAACUUUGUGCUGAUCGCACGGCCUCGCGCCGGCGACGUAUCUUUCAAAUGUCUGCCCUAUCAACUUUCGAUGGUACGUGAUAUGCCUACCAUGGUUGUAACGGGUAACGGGGAAUCAGGGUUCGAUUCCGGAGAGGGAGCAUGAGAAACGGCUACCACAUC
rnacentral:rRNA from 1 species